GCCGGGGUGGCCGAGAGGUUCAGGCGGCGGGCUGCAGACCCGCUAUACAUGGGUUCAAAUCCCAUCCCCGGCUCCA
rnacentral:tRNA from 1 species